rnacentral:rRNA from 1 species
GAUGAACGCUAGCGGCAGGCUUAAUACAUGCAAGUCGAGGGGGCAGCAAUGUCACCGGCGAACGGGUGCGUAACGCGUAUGCAACCUACCUACAUCAGGGGGAUAGCCCUAGGAAACUGGGAUUAACACCGCAUAAUAUAUGACAAGGCAUCUUGUUAUAUUGAAAUAUUUAUAGGAUGUAGAUGGGCAUGCGUAGGAUUAGCUAGUUGGUAAGGUAACGGCUUACCAAGGCUACGAUCCUUAGGGGCUCUGAGAGGAGUAUCCCCCACACUGGCACUGAGAUACGGGCCAGACUCCUACGGGAGGCAGCAGUAGGGAAUAUUGGGCAAUGGAGGCAACUCUGACCCAGCCAUGCCGCGUGCAGGAAGACGGUCCUCUGGAUUGUAAACUGCUUUUGAAUGGGAAGAAUGUGUGGCUUGCGAGCUAUAAUGACGGUACCAUUAGAAUAAGCCACGGCUAACUACGUGCCAGCAG